rnacentral:rRNA from 1 species
GACGAACGCUGGCGGCGUGCUUAACACAUGCAAGUCGAACGGAAAGGCCCUGCUUUCGCGGGGUGCCCGCGUGGCGAACGGGUGAGUAACAUAUGAGUAACCUGCCCUUGACUUUGGGACAACUUCAGGAAGCCGGGGCUAAUACAGGCUAGGUGCUCCUGCUGCUUGGGGGGGGUUGGAAAGUUUCGGCGGUUGUGGCUGGAGUCCCGGUUUACCAGCUUGUUGGGUGGGUAGUUGCUUACCGAGGCUUAGACGGGUAGCCGGCCUGAGUGGGGGACCGGCGACAUUGGUACUGAGAGACGGCGCAGAGGGGAACGGUGGGCAGCAGGGGGGAAUAUGGCACAAUGAGCGGAAGUCUGAUACAGCAACGCCGCGAGCGGAAAGACGGUCUACGGGUGGUAAAGCGCAGUCACUUGAGACGAAGCGUGAGUGACGGUAAUGGGUAAAGAAGCACCGGCUAACUACGUG